GAUGAACGCUGGCGGCGUGCCUAAUACAUGCAAGUCGAGCGAACAGACGAGGAGCUUGCUCCUCUGACGUUAGCGGCGGACGGGUGAGUAACACGUGGAUAACCUACCUAUAAGACUGGGAUAACUUCGGGAAACCGGAGCUAAUACCGGAUAAUAUAUUGAACCGCAUGGUUCAAUAGUGAAAGACGGUUUUGCUGUCACUUAUAGAUGGAUCCGCGCCGCAUUAGCUAGUUGGUAAGGUAACGGCUUACCAAGGCAACGAUGCGUAGCCGACCUGAGAGGGUGAUCGGCCACACUGGAACUGAGACACGGUCAAGACGCCUGCGGGAGGCAGCAGUAGGGAAUCUUCCGCAAUGGGCGAAAGCCUGACGGAGCAACGCCGCGUGAGUUAUGAAGGUCUUCGGAUCGUAAAACUCUGUUAUUAGGGAAGAACAAAUGUGUAAGUAACUAUGCACGUCUUGACGGUACCUAAUCAGAAAGCCACGGCUAACUACGUG
rnacentral:rRNA from 1 species